rnacentral:rRNA from 1 species
UACGUAGGGUGCAAGCGUUGUCCGGAAUUAUUGGGCGUAAAGAGCUCGUAGGCGGUUUGUCGCGUCUGCUGUGAAAACCCGAGGCUCAACCUCGGGCCUGCAGUGGGUACGGGCAGACUAGAGUGCGGUAGGGGAGAUUGGAAUUCCUGGUGUAGCGGUGGAAUGCGCAGAUAUCAGGUGGAACACCAAUGGCGAAGGCAGAUCUCUGGGCCGUAACUGACGCUGAGGAGCGAAAGCAUGGGGAGCGAACAGG